rnacentral:rRNA from 1 species
CCUACGGGGGGCAGCAGUGAGGAAUAUUGGUCAAUGGACGAGAGUCUGAACCAGCCAAGUAGCGUGAAGGAUGACUGCCCUAUGGGUUGUAAACUUCUUUUAUAUGGGAAUAAAAUGUUCCACGUGUGGGAUUUUGUAUGUACCAUAUGAAUAAGGAUCGGCUAACUCCGUGCCAGCAGCCGCGGUAAUACGGAGGAUCCGAGCGUUAUCCGGAUUUAUUGGGUUUAAAGGGUGCGUAGGUGGAUUGUUAAGUCAGUUGUGAAAGUUUGCGGCUCAACAGUAAAAUUGCAGUUGAAACUGGCAGUCUUGAGUACAGUAGAGGUGGGCGGAAUUCGUGGUGUAGCGGUGAAAUGCUUAGAUAUCACGAAGAACUCCGAUUGCGAAGGCAGUUCACUGGACUGCAACUGACACUGAGGCUCGAAAGUGUGGGUAUCAAACAGGAUUAGAUACCCUGGUAGUC